rnacentral:rRNA from 1 species
AUGUCCCGGUUCAAGCCUGUAGUCGUGCCUGGUAGGUAAAUCCGCCGGGCUUAGAUGAGGGGUGACAACGAGGCGGCUUGCCGUCGAAGUGAGUAAUACCCUGCUUCCAGGAAAAGCCACUAAGCUUCAGCUGCACACGACCGUACCGCAAACCGACACUGGUGCGCGAGAUGAGUAUUCUAAGGCGCUUGAGAGAACUCGGGAGAAGGAACUCGGCAAAUUGACACCGUAACUUCGGAAGAAGGUGUGCCUUUAGUAGGUGAACCUGUACAAGGGGAGCCCAAUGAGGUUGCAAAAAAUCGGUGGCUGCGACUGUUUAAUAAAAACACAGCACUCUGCAAACACGAAAGUGGACGUAUAGGGUGUGACGCCUGCCCGGUGCUGGAAGAUUAAAUGAUGGGGUGCAAGCUCUUGAUUGAAGUCCCAGUAAACGGCGGCCGUAACAAUAACGGUCCUAAGGUAGCGAAAUUCCUUGUCGGGUAAGUUCCGACCUGCACGAAUGGCGUAACGAUGGCCACACUGUCUCCUCCCGAGACUCAGCGAAGUUGAAAUGUUUGUGAUGAUGCAAUCUCCCCGCGGAAAGACGGAAAGACCCCAUGAACCUUUACUGUAGCUUUGUAUUGGACUUUGAACAGAUCUGUGUAGGAUAGGUGGGAGGCUUUGAAGCAGGGUCGCUAGAUCUUGUGGAGCCAACGUUGAAAUACCACCCUGGUGUGUUUGAGGUUCUAGCCUAGGCCCGUAAUCCGGGUCGGGGACAGUGCAUGGUAGGCAGUUUGACUGGGGCGGUCUCCUCCCAAAGCGUAACGGAGGAGUUCGAAGGUACGCUAGUUACGGUCGGACAUCGUGACGAUAGUGCAAUGGCAUAAGCGUGCUUAACUGCGAGACUGACAAGUCGAGCAGAUGCGAAAGCAGGACAUAGUGAUCCGGUGGUUCUGUAUGGAAGGGCCAUCGCUCAACGGAUAAAAGGUACUCUGGGGAUAACAGGCUGAUACCGCCCAAGAGUUCAUAUCGACGGCGGUGUUUGGCACCUCGAUGUCGGCUCAUCUCAUCCUGGGGCUGUAGCCGGUCCCAAGGGUAUGGCUGUUCGCCAUUUAAAGAGGUACGUGAGCUGGGUUUAAAACGUCGUGAGACAGUUUGGUCCCUAUCUUCCGUGGGCGCUGCAGAUUUGAAGAAGCCUGCUCCUAGUACGAGAGGACCGGAGUGGACGCACCUCUGGUGUAUCGGUUGUCACGCCAGUGGCAUUGCCGAGUAGCUAUGUGCGGAAGAGAUAACCGCUGAAAGCAUCUAAGCGGGAAACUCGUUCUAAGAUGAGAUCUGCCGGGGCCUUGAGCCCCCUGAAGAGUCGUUCAAGACCAGGACGUUGAUAGGUCAGGUGUGGAAGCGCAGUAAUGCGUUAAGCUAACUGAUACUAAUUGCUCGUGCGGCUUGACCCC